rnacentral:rRNA from 1 species
GACGAACGCUGGCGGCGUGCUUAACACAUGCAAGUCGAACGGAAAGGCCCUGCUUUUGUGGGGUGCUCGAGUGGCGAACGGGUGAGUAACACGUGAGUAACCUGCCCUUGACUUUGGGAUAACUUCAGGAAACUGGGGCUAAUACCGGAUAGGAGCUCCUGCUGCAUGGUGGGGGUUGGAAAGUUUCGGCGGUUGGGGAUGGACUCGCGGCUUAUCAGCUUGUUGGUGGGGUAGUGGCUUACCAAGGCUUUGACGGGUAGCCGGCCUGAGAGGGUGACCGGCCACAUUGGGACUGAGAUACGGCCCAGACUCCUACGGGAGGCAGCAGUGGGGAAUAUUGCACAAUGGGCGGAGGCCUGAUGCAGCAACGCCGCGUGCGGGAUGACGGCCUCCGGGUUGUAAACCGCUUUCGCCUGUGACGAAGCGUGAGUGACGGUAAUGGGUAAAGAAGCACCGGCUAACUACGUGCCAGCAGCCGCGGUGAUACGUAGGGUGCGAGCGUUGUCCGGAUUUAUUGGGCGUAAAGGGCUCGUAGGUGGUUGAUCGCGUCGGAAGUGUAAUCUUGGGGCUUAACCCUGAGCGUGCUUUCGAUACGGGUUGACUUGAGGAAGGUAGGGGAGAAUGGAAUUCCUGGUGGAGCGGUGGAAUGCGCAGAUAUCAGGAGGAACACCAGUGGCGAAGGCGGUUCUCUGGGCCUUUCCUGACGCUGAGGAGCGAAAGCGUGGGGAGCGAACAGGCUUAGAUACCCUGGUAGUCCACGCUGUAAACGGUGGGUACUAGGUGUGGGGUCCAUUCCACGGGUUCCGUGCCGUAGCUAACGCUUUAAGUACCCCGCCUGGGGAGUACGGCCGCAAGGCUAAAACUCAAAGGAAUUGACGGGGCCCCGCACAAGCGGCGGAGCAUGCGGAUUAAUUCGAUGCAACGCGUAGAACCUUACCUGGGUUUGACAUGGAUCGGGAGUGCUCAGAGAUGGGUGUGCCUCUUUUGGGGUCGGUUCACAGGUGGUGCAUGGCUGUCGUCAGUUCGUGUCGUGAGAUGUUGGGUUAAGUCCCGCAACGAGCGCAACCCUUGUUCACUGUUGCCAGCACGUUAUGGUGGGGACUCAGUGGAGACCGCCGGGGUCAACUCGGAGGAAGGUGGGGAUGACGUCAAGUCAUCAUGCCCCUUAUGUCCAGGGCUUCACGCAUGCUACAAUGGCUGGUACAGAGAGUGGCGAGCCUGUGAGGGUGAGCGAAUCUCGGAAAGCCGGUCUCAGUUCGGAUUGGGGUCUGCAACUCGACCUCAUGAAGUCGGAGUCGCUAGUAAUCGCAGAUCAGCAACGCUGCGGUGAAUACGUUCCCGGGGCU